rnacentral:rRNA from 1 species
UACGGAGGGUGCAAGCGUUAUCCGGAUUCACUGGGUUUAAAGGGUGCGUAGGUGGGCAGGUAAGUCAGUGGUGAAAUCUCCGGGCUUAACCCGGAAACUGCCAUUGAUACUAUCUGUCUUGAAUACCGUGGAGGUGAGCGGAAUAUGGCAUGUAGCGGUGAAAUGCUUAGAUAUGACAUAGAACACCAAUUGCGAAGGCAGCUCACUACACGAAUAUUGACACUGAGGCACGAAAGCGUGGGGAUCAAACAGG